rnacentral:rRNA from 1 species
GAGAGAUUUAUCCUGCCCAAUGAUUUAUUUAAUGGCCGCAGUAUUUUGACUGUGCAAAGGUAGCAUAAUCAUUAGUCUAUUAAUUGUGGACUUGUAUGAAUGGUUUGACGAGAUAUUGACUGUCUCACAUUUAUUAUUAAAAUUUAGAUUUUAAGUUAAAAUGCUUAAAUUUUUUUAUGGGACGAGAAGACCCUAUAGAUCUUUAACUUUUUAUGUUUAUAUUAUUUGGUUUAUUUUAUUUAUAAGUUUUAUUGUGUUUUUGUUGGGGUAACAUUAGGAUGAGUUUAACUCCUUUUUUUUGCUUACAUUGAUUUAUGAUUAUGUGAACUUUAUUUUUGUUUAAAAGAUAUAGAUACCUUAGGGAUAACAGCGUAAUCUUUAUUAAGAGUUCAUAUCGACAUUAAGGAUUGCGACCUCGAUGUUGGAUUAAGGUAAUUUUUAGGUGUAGAUGCUUAAUAAAUAGGUCUGUUCGACCUUUAAAAUCUUACA